ensembl:snRNA
UUGUUGUAUGAAUGGAGAGUUUAGCAUUGCCCUUGAGAAGAAUAGAAGAGGUCUAGUGGUUUUACAACACAGAUACAGUUAAGUCAUUCCAUCUGCUUUGUGGCAUCUAACCAUGUUU